CGGAAAGCCAGGCCCAACACGUCACAAAGCAGCAAUCCUGUCCAUCUUCAACUGAAAUUGUCAGCUGUUCCAAAUCCGCUAGUUUUUGGAAUAGCUCUUGGAUUGGGACUCUCCUUUGUGGUGAUUCUGCUAAUGGUCGGGCUGUGUCACUGCGUAGCCUCUAAAGCGCUCUGUUCCAACCCGACAAACCGAUCAGACAUUGGGCAAAUGCAGGUAUGCAGCUACCAGGACAUCAGGCUAGGCUGGGCGCAGAAGAGGGAGAGUGAACAAGGGGAGGGUGGCAGUGAGUGGGACGAGUCUGACUAUGUCAACAUGGAGAGUGUGCAUCAAAGUACAGAAAAUAUAUAUGACACACCUGAGUGAUGGUCAGAAUAUGUAAAAG